ACGAACGCUGGCGGCGUGCCUAACACAUGCAAGUCGAGCGGAGACAGUGAGUAGCUUGCUAUGAGCUGUUUUAGCGGCGGACGGGUGAGUAACGCGUGAGCAACCUUUCCCAGACAGGGGAAUAACACACCGAAAGGUGUACUAAUACCGCAUAAGACCACGGAAUCACAUGGUUCUGAGGUAAAAGAUUUAUCGGUUUGGGGUGGGCUCGCGUCCGAUUAGGUAGUUGGUGAGGUAACGGCCCACCAAGCCGACGAUCGGUAGCCGACCUGAGAGGGUGAUCGGCCACAUUGGGACUGAGACACGGCCCAAACUCCUACGGGAGGCAGCAGUGGGGAAUAUUGGGCAAUGGAGGAAACUCUGACCCAGCAACGCCGCGUGGAGGAAGAAGGUUUUCGGAUCGUAAACUCCUGUCCUUGGAGACGAGUAGAAGACGGUAUCCAAGGAGGAAGCCCCGGCUAACUACGUGCCAGCAGCCGCGGUAAUACGUAGGGGGCAAGCGUUGUCCGGAAUAAUUGGGCGUAAAGGGCGCGUAGGCGGCUCGGUAAGUCUGGAGUGAAAGUCCUGCUUUUAAGGUGGGAAUUGCUUUGGAUACUGUCGGGCUUGAGUGCAGGAGAGGUUAGUGGAAUUCCCAGUGUAGCGGUGAAAUGCGUAGAGAUUGGGAGGAACACCAGUGGCGAAGGCGACUAACUGGACUGUAACUGACGCUGAGGCGCGAAAGUGUGGGGAGCAAACAGGAUUAGAUACCCUGGUAGUCCACGCCGUAAACGAUGUCGACUUGGAGGUUGUGCCCUUGAGGCGUGGCUUCCGGAGCUAACGCGUUAAGUCGACCGCCUGGGGAGUACGGCCGCAAGGUUGAAACUCAAAGGAAUUGACGGGGGCCCGCACAAGCAGCGGAGCAUGUGGUUUAAUUCGACGCAACGCGAAGAACCUUACCAGGUCUUGACAUCCACUUAAACUUACAGAGAUGUAAGGUGUGCUUGCACAAAGUGAGACAGGUGGUGCAUGGUUGUCGUCAGCUCGUGUCGUGAGAUGUUGGGUUAAGUCCCGCAACGAGCGCAACCCUUAUCUUCAGUUACUAACGCGUGAGGGUGAGGACUCUGAAGAGACUGCCGGGGACAACUCGGAGGAAGGUGGGGACGACGUCAAAUCAUCAUGCCCCUUAUGACCUGGGCUACACACGUGCUACAAUGGCCACGACAGAGAGAAGCGAAAUCGUAAGGUAGAGCGGAACUCAAAAAAGUGGUCCCAGUUCGGAUUGUGGGCUGCAACCCGCCCACAUGAAGUCGGAGUUGCUAGUAAUCGCGGAUCAGCAUGCCGCGGUGAAUACGUUCCCGGGCCUUGUACACACCGCCCGUCACACCAUGGGAGUCAGUAACGCCCGAAGUCAGUGACCUAACUGCAAAGAAGGAGCUGCCGAAGGCGGGACCGAUGACUGGGGUG
rnacentral:rRNA from 1 species